rnacentral:rRNA from 1 species
GACAGAGGGUGCAAACGUUGUUCGGAAUUACUGGGCGUAAAGGGCGCGUAGGCGGCCUGUUAAGUCGGACGUGAAAUCCCUCGGCUCAACCGGGGAACUGCGUCUGAUACUGGCGGGCUUGAAUUCGGGAGAGGGAUGUGGAAUUCCAGGUGUAGCGGUGAAAUGCGUAGAUAUCUGGAGGAACACCGGUGGCGAAGGCGGCAUCCUGGACCGACAUUGACGCUGAGGCGCGAAAGCCAGGGGAGCAAACGGG